rnacentral:rRNA from 1 species
CGAGUGGCGGACGGGUGAGUAAUGUCUGGGAAACUGCCUGAUGGAGGGGGAUAACUACUGGAAACGGUAGCUAAUACCGCAUAACGUCGCAAGACCAAAGAGGGGGACCUUCGGGCCUCUUGCCAUCGGAUGUGCCCAAAUGGGAUUAGCUAGUAGGUGGGGUAACGGCUCACCUAGGCGACGAUCCCUAGCUGGUCUGAGAGGAUGACCAGCCACACUGAAACUGAGACACGGUCCAGACUCCUACGGGAGGCAGCAUG